GGGUUGUGAGGUUAAGCGACUAAGCGUACACGGUGGAUGCCCUGGCAGUCAGAGGCGAUGAAGGACGUGCUAAUCUGCGAUAAGCGUCGGUAAGGUGAUAUGAACCGUUAUAACCGGCGAUUUCCGAAUGGGGAAACCCAGUGUGAUUCGUCACACUAUCAUUAACUGAAUCCAUAGGUUAAUGAGGCGAACCGGGGGAACUGAAACAUCUAAGUACCCCGAGGAAAAGAAAUCAACCGAGAUUCCCCCAGUAGCGGCGAGCGAACGGGGAGGAGCCCAGAGCCUGAAUCAGUGUGUGUGUUAGUGGAAGCGUCUGGAAAGGCGCGCGAUACAGGGUGACAGCCCCGUACACAAAAAUGCACAUACUGUGAGCUCGAUGAGUAGGGCGGGACACGUGGUAUCCUGUCUGAAUAUGGGGGGACCAUCCUCCAAGGCUAAAUACUCCUGACUGACCGAUAGUGAACCAGUACCGUGAGGGAAAGGCGAAAAGAACCCCGGCGAGGGGAGUGAAAAAGAACCUGAAACCGUGUACGUACAAGCAGUGGGAGCCUCUUUUAUGGGGUGACUGCGUACCUUUUGUAUAAUGGGUCAGCGACUUAUAUUCUGUAGCAAGGUUAACCGAAUAGGGGAGCCGAAGGGAAACCGAGUCUUAACUGGGCGUUAAGUUGCAGGGUAUAGACCCGAAACCCGGUGAUCUAGCCAUGGGCAGGUUGAAGGUUGGGUAACACUAACUGGAGGACCGAACCGACUAAUGUUGAAAAAUUAGCGGAUGACUUGUGGCUGGGGGUGAAAGGCCAAUCAAACCGGGAGAUAGCUGGUUCUCCCCGAAAGCUAUUUAGGUAGCGCCUCGUGAAUUCAUCUCCGGGGGUAGAGCACUGUUUCGGCAAGGGGGUCAUCCCGACUUACCAACCCGAUGCAAACUGCGAAUACCGGAGAAUGUUAUCACGGGAGACACACGGCGGGUGCUAACGUCCGUCGUGAAGAGGGAAACAACCCAGACCGCCAGCUAAGGUCCCAAAGUCAUGGUUAAGUGGGAAACGAUGUGGGAAGGCCCAGACAGCCAGGAUGUUGGCUUAGAAGCAGCCAUCAUUUAAAGAAAGCGUAAUAGCUCACUGGUCGAGUCGGCCUGCGCGGAAGAUGUAACGGGGCUAAACCAUGCACCGAAGCUGCGGCAGCGACGCUUAUGCGUUGUUGGGUAGGGGAGCGUUCUGUAAGCCUGUGAAGGUGUACUGUGAGGUAUGCUGGAGGUAUCAGAAGUGCGAAUGCUGACAUAAGUAACGAUAAAGCGGGUGAAAAGCCCGCUCGCCGGAAGACCAAGGGUUCCUGUCCAACGUUAAUCGGGGCAGGGUGAGUCGACCCCUAAGGCGAGGCCGAAAGGCGUAGUCGAUGGGAAACAGGUUAAUAUUCCUGUACUUGGUGUUACUGCGAAGGGGGACGGAGAAGGCUAUGUUGGCCGGGCGACGGUUGUCCCGGUUUAAGCGUGUAGGCUGGUUUUCCAGGCAAAUCCGGAAAAUCAAGGCUGAGGCGUGAUGACGAGGCACUACGGUGCUGAAGCAACAAAUGCCCUGCUUCCAGGAAAAGCCUCUAAGCAUCAGGUAACAUCAAAUCGUACCCCAAACCGACACAGGUGGUCAGGUAGAGAAUACCAAGGCGCUUGAGAGAACUCGGGUGAAGGAACUAGGCAAAAUGGUGCCGUAACUUCGGGAGAAGGCACGCUGAUAUGUAGGUGAAGCGACUUGCUCGUGGAGCUGAAAUCAGUCGAAGAUACCAGCUGGCUGCAACUGUUUAUUAAAAACACAGCACUGUGCAAACACGAAAGUGGACGUAUACGGUGUGACGCCUGCCCGGUGCCGGAAGGUUAAUUGAUGGGGUUAGCGGUAACGCGAAGCUCUUGAUCGAAGCCCCGGUAAACGGCGGCCGUAACUAUAACGGUCCUAAGGUAGCGAAAUUCCUUGUCGGGUAAGUUCCGACCUGCACGAAUGGCGUAAUGAUGGCCAGGCUGUCUCCACCCGAGACUCAGUGAAAUUGAACUCGCUGUGAAGAUGCAGUGUACCCGCGGCAAGACGGAAAGACCCCGUGAACCUUUACUAUAGCUUGACACUGAACAUUGAGCCUUGAUGUGUAGGAUAGGUGGGAGGCUUUGAAGUGUGGACGCCAGUCUGCAUGGAGCCGGCCUUGAAAUACCACCCUUUAAUGUUUGAUGUUCUAACGUUGGCCCCUGACCGGGGUUGCGGACAGUGUCUGGUGGGUAGUUUGACUGGGGCGGUCUCCUCCUAAAGAGUAACGGAGGAGCACGAAGGUUGGCUAAUCCUGGUCGGACAUCAGGAGGUUAGUGCAAUGGCAUAAGCCAGCUUGACUGCGAGCGUGACGGCGCGAGCAGGUGCGAAAGCAGGUCAUAGUGAUCCGGUGGUUCUGAAUGGAAGGGCCAUCGCUCAACGGAUAAAAGGUACUCCGGGGAUAACAGGCUGAUACCGCCCAAGAGUUCAUAUCGACGGCGGUGUUUGGCACCUCGAUGUCGGCUCAUCACAUCCUGGGGCUGAAGUAGGUCCCAAGGGUAUGGCUGUUCGCCAUUUAAAGUGGUACGCGAGCUGGGUUUAGAACGUCGUGAGACAGUUCGGUCCCUAUCUGCCGUGGGCGCUGGAGAACUGAGGGGGCUGCUCCUAGUACGAGAGGACCGGAGUGGACGCAUCACUGGUGUUCGGGUUGUCAUGCCAAUGGCACUGCCCGGUAGCUAAAUGCGGAAGAGAUAAGUGCUGAAAGCAUCUAAGCACGAAACUUGCCCCGAGAUGAGUUCUCCCUGACUCCUUGAGAGUCCUGAAGGAACGUUGAAGACGACGACGUUGAUAGGCCGGGUGUGUAAGCGCAGCGAUGCGUUGAGCUAACCGGUACUAAUGAACCGUGAGGCUUAACCUUACAACGCCGAAG
rnacentral:rRNA from 1 species